rnacentral:rRNA from 1 species
UGGGGAAUCUUGGACAAUGGGGGCAACCCUGAUCCAGCCAUGUCGCGUGAGUGAUGAAGGCCUUAGGGUCGUAAAGCUCUUUCGCCUGUGAAGAUAAUGACGGUAGCAGGUAAAGAAACCCCGGCUAACUCCGUGCCAGCAGCCGCGGUAAUACGGAGGGGGUUAGCGUUGUUCGGAAUUACUGGGCGUAAAGCGCACGUAGGCGGACCAGAAAGUUGGGGGUGAAAUCCCGGGGGCUCAACCCCGGAACUGCCUCCAAAACUAUUGGUCUAGAGUUCGAGAGAGGUGAGUGGAAUUCCAAGUGUAGAGGUGAAAUUCGUAGAUAUUUGGAGGAACACCAGUGGCGAAGGCGGCUCACUGGCUCGAUACUGACGCUGAGGUGCGAAAGUGUGGGGAGCAAAACAGGAUUAGAUACCCUGGUAGUCCACACCGUAAAACGAUGAAUGCCAGUCGUCGGGUAGCAUGCUAUUCGGUGACACACCUAACGGAUUAAGCAUUCCGCCUGGGGAGUAC